GAAUGAAGAACGUAGCGAAAUGCGAUAAGUAAUGUGAAUUGCAGAAUUCAGUGAAUCAUCGAAUCUUUGAACGCACAUUGCGCCCACUAGUAUUCUGGUGGGCAUGCCUGUCCGAGCGUCAUUUCAACCCUCGAGAACCCCUUUGCGGGGGGGAUCGGUGUUGGGGCUCGACCGUCCCCCGUGGCGGUCGUCCCCUAAACUUAUUGGCGGUCUCGCUGUAGCCUCCUCUGCGCAGUAACUUACAUUCUCGCAGGCGGAGAGCGGCGCGGCCACGCCGUAAAACCCCAACUUUCUAAGGUUGACCUCGGAUCAGGUAGGAAUACCCGCUGAACUUAAGCAUAUCAAUAAGCGGAGGA
rnacentral:misc_RNA from 1 species